rnacentral:rRNA from 1 species
GACGAACGCUGGCGGCGUGCCUAACACAUGCAAGUCGAACGAGGCCACUCCUUCGGGAGUGAGUCGAGUGGCGGACGGGUGAGUAACACGUGAGCAAUCUACCCUUGUGCGGGGGAUAACCCAGGGAAACUUGGGCUAAUACCGCAUGGACAAGAGAUCGGAGUCGGUCUUUUGGGAAACGUGGCCUCUUAACAAUGCUACGGCGCAAGGAGGAGCUCGCGGGCUAUCAGCUAGUUGGUGAGGUAACGGCUCACCAAGGCAGCGACGGCUACGGGGUCUGAGGGGACGACCCCGCACAUUGGAACUGAGACACGGUCCAGACUCCUACGGGAGGCAGCAGUGGGGAAUUUUGGGCAAUGGCCGAAAGGCUGACCCAGCGACGCCGCGUGCGGGAGGAAGCCCUUCGGGUGUAACCGCUGUCAGGGGGGCGGAAAGGAGAGAGGAGCUAAUACCUCUUCUCAGUGACGGUACCCUCAAAGGAAGCACCGGCUAACUCUGUGCCAGCAGCCGCGGUAAGAC